rnacentral:tRNA from 1 species
GGGUGUGGCUCAGCUUGGCUAGAGCGCUUGAUUUGGGAUCAAGAGGUCGCAGGUUCGAAUCCUGUCACGCUCA